ensembl:lncRNA
ACUUAAACCAGUGCUUCAGAUAGUUUUCAGAUAAAGAUAAAAAGAUAAAGACAAAACUAUGAAGCAUAUGAGCAUUUACAACAAUCUUCACAAGAGGCUGCAGAAUGUGAAGUCCCCACAAAAGAGGCAGGGGCCCACUCCAGAGAGGGGCCAUUCAAAGAAAAGGAGUCUCAUUGACUUCUCAUCGAGUGACAGAGAAGAAAAUGAUGCAGACCCAAGUGGUGCAUCAACAAUUAUUUUGCAUCAAACAUCUGGGAGCAGUUCUGAUGAUGGCAACAGGUCACCUGAAAAAGACAGUCUGAUCAUACAGGCCAGACCUUAUAAAACUCUGCCGGAGAUGUUCAAGAAAACAAAACCAAACAAAGAUGCGGUCCACCAAAUCCUUGACCUCGAGUUUGAAGCAAGAAGAGCCUUCAUCGACAGUGAUGCCAUGAAAGAAGAGGACAGGCCAACAAAGAUCCUCGACGCCUACCCUUGUUUUAAGGAUCUUCAUCACGUGAUGAGUGAGCUGCAACGAAUCCUGGAUAAGGACAACAUCACAUACAUAGAUGAAGUAAAGAAGAGAUGGGAAGACUUCUGUGCCAAGGUGCAAUUUUACGGUGUUUCAAAGAAAGUGAUGAAGCCGCCCAUGAACCUGGAUGCAGUGGAAUAUGCCAUAGCUCUAUUCAAGGCACUUCCUGCCCUCUUUCCUUCACCAACUGCCCCACCGAAGAAGUUGGGAAAGCCAGUGAGGCAUUGCUUCAUGUCCUUCAGCCAACAGAAGAUCCCACCAUCUACCUUCAGAAGAGACCACACUCUGCACUUGUUUUGCUCUUUGAUGGGUCCCGCUGUCUUGUCACAUUUGGAACCACUCCCAUCACCACAUUUGCCAAGGAAGACCUUUGUGAAGGUUUGCUUUAUCUGAUGGCUUACUACUACACUCUGCAUCUCACCUAUCCAAAGUGUGUGGCAACCCUCCUCUCAGUCAUUCAGACAGAAAUAUUAGACAUGACGACCUCAUACAAAAAAGCCAUGACAGAAUGGAAGGAUUUUAUUGGGAUGUAGAGGUGUUCACUGUGUUAAACUACUAUACUAGAAUAACUGGCACCACCAGUUUCACUGUCGCGGUACUCUAAAUCGAUAGUAGUGUGCAUUGGAGUUUGUCAAGAGAAAAUUCUUUCUUCCUUUUUGUUCAAGUAUUCUCUGAUUGCCUUGUUCUUUGUUCCUUUAAUCAUCAAAGCAUAUUUUGUGCUGCAAAUGUUGGAUCUAAAAAGUUAAUAGAGGCCAAUGACGGUUAACUAGGUUUAUAAACAUUACAGGAGGUGGAAUGAACAGAAAAUUUGAAACUUAAUACUUUUUUCUGUAUCUGAAUGUCAGGUAAUCAGAUUCAGUGACGAUGACACAUAACCAUAAUGACCUCAAAGUUGUAUCACAUGUUUUCUGUUGCAAUGCUUCCGUAAUUGAGAAUAUGUAAUAUUUUGAAAAGCAACAAGUGUGUUAAAGGGCACAAAAUCUAAAUAAAUUGUUGUUGACAAUGAUCGUAUUCAUGCUUUGUCUCAUUUUAAGCCGCACAAGCUAAUAAUGAACAGUCUUGAAUUAAGUGAAAUUGUCUUGUAUAGUGGUUCUGCUUUUAAGAACCUUUCACUAAAAUUAAGAAAGGAAAAAAACUGAAAGAAGAAUGGACAUCUUAUUUUGAGUUUAUUUGACUUAAUACAGUGCUUGAAAUUAGUGUUUUACCACUCAUUACAAGACAUGUAUCACCUUUCUGAUGCCUAGAACAUUUUUCUUAUCUCAAGAAAUCUUACUGUGUAUUACUAAGUGUAAUAAUCUUACUGCACUGGCAGAUAAAUUAACUUGUUUUAAGUCUUUACCUUCUCAAAUUAAGUAAUUUUUACUUGCAUUUAGAUGGUUCAUUUUUGCAGUGUGCAUUUGAAGUCCGGCUCAAAUGUAUUUGAUUAUAUUUUUAACAGUCCUUUCCAUUGAUUUUUUUUGGUCAUUAGAUCAUAAAUUAUUCUUUUUUUUUUAUUCUGUGCCCCCUUUUGUCUUCAUCUGGCAAGACACAAUGAGACACGUUCUGUGAUUUUGUAUGUGGCCAGCUGAGAGAGAUGCUGCAUUUGCACACGAAUCAAAACUUCUUUUUUGUUGUUUUCUAACAUGAUAAAAAUAUGGGUAUUGCUGCAAUAUGGAACGGAUAAAGUAAUAUGUUAUUUCCAAUUUGUGCUCUACUUUAAGCAACAUCCGGUAGAAGUUUGGGUUAUGGAAUUAUCUUAUGAUUAUUUACAGUAAACUAGUGUGCAUGCACAAACAAAACAAAAAACGCCUAACUUGAAUAUUUUAGCCAUUUUUAGCAACUUACUGUGUCGUCAGAAGCAGUAGACACCGGGUUGUCCUCUUGGGUGAGAUACCUAAAAUUAAAAUCCUUGAUCAAGAAAUAUGUAGGCCUAAUGGACGUGUGCAUGUGUUCUACUUACUGAAUUGUAGAAGAACCUCACCCAUAUCUUCAGAAAUGUCCCUAACAAAAAUGUUGUGGUAAUGUUAAAACACUGAUUGGUAAAUUCCAUUCAUGUGGUGAAACCUUUAAGACUGUACAUUAUAACUGUAGGUUAUACAGUGGACAUGGUAAGAUCAUUUUUACCUUUAUACAAACAUACUUAACAUAGAUUAUGGGAAACUAGAAAAUGCAUUUCCUGCAGAAAAUGCGUGGGAAUGCUGAGUAGCUAAAGCUAAACUGGUUGAAUAGCUUAAAGCCAUGAGAAGAAGCUUAAGUAGUGGGAGUAGUUGAAAAAGUGGAAAUCGGUUUAAUAAGUUUGAAUUUAAUUAAAAAGUUAUAUACACUGCAUAGAACGAAAAAGCAUCAAUUUAGCUGAGAUGAGAUGUGAAAUAUAUUAGGUGAAAAGAAUGGGGCUGAACAAGAAGGAGAGGAAAGAGAGGAGAGGAAUAGAGAAGAAAGAAGAAGAGAAAGAAAGAGAGGGAGACAGGAGGGAGGGAUACAGUUAGAGGGAGGUAGGGACACACAGACAGAUAAGGAGACAGAAGCAUUCCUGCUAAUUAUGCCACAUAUGUUUACAUGAUACCUGUAGCUGGUAGCUUUGUAGCUAGCUUCUAGCAUGUUUUACUUUUGUUUAUGUCUUUGCUUAGUUCUUUCUGGAACGGGUGCUUCGUCGUUGACGAGGUACCUUUUUGUAACGUACUGGAUCUGGAUUCUUUUUCUUUAUUUGUUGCUUAUUUACCACAGACCGUAAAGCAUACUGGCAAGCAUGUGUCCACUCUGGUCCGAUCGGCCGCUACAGCGUCGCAUGCGAAUUACAUCAUCACCCGCGCUGGGCCGCUUGUGGAUGACGUCCUUCACAUGCAGGUGCCAUCUUAUCUUUCGCGCCGAAAGAUAACGGCUGGGACUAAGUAAAAAGUAUUAAAAAUGGAGACAUCAGCGUCCCGCUAUGUCCUACUUGAAUGGACUGAGGGUGAUGAUGGACUGUGUCCGGAAUUUUUCAGUUCAAGAAUUUUUUGCCUCGACUGAACAAAACGAGAAGCUGGUGGAAUGACGAAAAGGCCGCCAACCCUGGCCGGUUCACCGAGCCAAAAUUAUUGACGUGGCAAGUAAGUUAUGUUACAUUUCUAUUAUGUAUAUCACAUUAAAUUUUGCUCGCACUUAAAGAAGUGUAAAAUGGAUCUUGUUACCUGACUAGCUUAGUAUGCUGGCUGACGUUUCAAUAAAAAUAUUGAUACAAAUUAUGAUAUAUUGUUGUUUUCAGAAGUGAUGUUACGAGAUGUGCCGACGCUUCGAAGCGUGUGUCGAGUAAUGGAGGGGGCGUUUCCUCGAAGCGCGUAUUGAGGCUCGCUUCCAAAAAUGAUGACGUCCGAAGCCCGGCUGUACCACGUUACUGCUUCAGGAAGUGGUUCAGAUUUUGCCGGGAGGUUUGACAGCAAAUGUCACGGAAAUAGCUUCGAGGAAAACGCUUCGAGGAAACGCCCCCUCCAUGUUAUGUCCAGCCCUGAGUAUUAAGUUAAGUUGGCUGGAUAUUUAUAAUUUAUUCUUCGGUUAUGUGUUGUUAUAGUUUACUCACCUCUCCUCUCGUUUCAGACUCCUCCCCCCCCCCCCUCAGGUGUGUGGGUUCCACCUGGGUGAUUGUCAGCUCCUCCCUGAUUGUUUGCACCUGGCCCUCAUCACCCGGUGUAUUUAGUCUGUGGGUUCCUGUCCUCUGUUGCCAGUUCAUCUUUGAUACACCAUGUUCCUAGCGUUCCAGCAUUCAUUCCUGAUAGCCUUCCUGUUACCGACCCCUGCCUGGUUAACGAGUUACGUCUCUGCCUUUUCCCUGCCGGAUACCUUGCCUAGUGAUCGACUGCCUGCCCGUGUACCGACCUUGGACCAGAAUUUUUACAAACUCUGCACCUGCCAGCCUCCUGUUGGGUCAUUAUACCCGUGUUUGUACUGCCAUCCGACAGUAAAGUUGGUUAACUGCACCUUCUUGUGUCUCCGAGUCGUGGAAUUGGAUCCACACACUUGUCUGCACACCUCACACUCCAUUACUCGACACACGCUUCG